CUCUUUUCGGUUUCCUGCCGCGUGCAGCGAGGGCUUGAAGAGGAGGGAUGGAGGGAGUAGAAAGGCGCCGAGCUAGGGACUUGGCGGGAGGGUUUUUUUUUUAAUCCCCCCCCCCCUUUUUUAAUCUUUCGGUUAAAUGGACCGAAACUACAAUGCCAAGCCCACGGCAAUACAGCCCGGAAAACCCACAACAACCAUAAAUGGAACAAAUUUGUUCGAUUUUGCUGAGGGGCUUGAAAGGUACCCGUUUCUAUUAGAUGUUGGCUUGCCAACCUCCAGAUGAGGCCUGGAGAUCUCCCGGAGUUACAACUGAUCUUCAGACUACAGAGAUAGUUCCUCUUGGGGAAAUGGCAACGUCACAGGGUGGACCCUAUGGUUUUAAAACCCACUUAGGUUGCUCCCUUUCCCGAACCCCAACAGGUUCCUUCCCCAAAUCUCCAGGAAUUUUUCAACCUGGAUUUGGCAACCCUAUUUGAGAGGGAUGCCUUGUUCCAGAACCAAGUCCCCCCCCCCCCCCCGCCGCCGCCCCAAGUAUGUCAGUCAAGUGAUCAGGCUUCCAGUAUGAUUAGCAGGAGUGAAGGACAGUAACAGAAUAUCAGGAAUUAUGCCAUAGCCAGAAAUGGGACCCCAAGUUUCUUGAGGAACUGAGGACUGUCUCCAGGAUGGCCAAGAUCUUUGGAAUAUAUGUGCCGUCUUUAAUUUACUUCUGAUUCAUCCAUUUACGUCGAAGAUCUGGUAGACAAGAUCCUGUACAAAAAGGGAAACCUCUGAAAUUAUUUAAUGACUUCUCCAAAAUAUAUUGAGGGAGUCUAAUAAAUUAUUUUCUACUGGGUUUGAUACUUGUAA